rnacentral:sRNA from 1 species
AAAGAAAGCAUCUUGAAGAGAAGGGAGUGCAAAUGCUGCUGAUAGGUUUGGAGGGUGGCCGAGCCUUCUUCAAUGCUGUCAAGGAGGGAGACACCGUGAUAUUUGCCAGUGACGAUGAACAAGACCGCAUCCUGUGGGUCCAGGCCAUGUAUCGGGCCACGGGGCAGUCACACAAGCCUGUGCCCCCGACCCAAGUCCAGAAACUCAACGCCAAGGGAGGAAAUGUACCUCAGCUGGAUGCCCCUAUCUCUCAAUUUUACGCAGAUAGAGCUCAAAAACAUGGCAUGGAUGAAUUUAUCUCUUCCAACCCCUGUAACUUUGACCACGCUUCCCUCUUUGAGAUGGUACAACGCCUUACUUUGGAUCACAGACUUAAUGAUUCCUAUUCUUGCCUGGGCUGGUUCAGUCCUGGCCAGGUGUUUGUACUAGACGAGUAUUGCGCCCGAAAUGGAGUCCGGGGGUGUCACCGACAUCUCUGCUACCUCAGAGACUUGCUUGAACGGGCAGAAAAUGGCGCCAUGAUCGACCCCACCCU